rnacentral:rRNA from 1 species
AAAAAACAAGGUUUCCGUAGGUGAACCUGCGGAAGGAUCAUUACCGAGUGAGGGCCCUCUGGGUCCAACCUCCCACCCGUGUUUAUCGUACCUUGUUGCUUCGGCGGGCCCGCCGCAAGGCCGCCGGGGGGCAUCUGCCCUCUGGCCCGCGCCCGCCGAAGACACCAUUGAACGCUGUCUGAAGAUUGCAGUCUGAGCAAUUAGUUAAAUAACUUAAAACUUUCAACAACGGAUCUCUUGGUUCCGGCAUCGAUGAAGAACGCAGCGAAAUGCGAUACGUAAUGUGAAUUGCAGAAUUCAGUGAAUCAUCGAGUCUUUGAACGCACAUUGCGCCCCCUGGUAUUCCGGGGGGCAUGCCUGUCCGAGCGUCAUUGCUGCCCUCAAGCACGGCUUGUGUGUUGGGCUCCGUCCUCCUUCCGGGGGGACGGGCCCGAAAGGCAGCGGCGGCACCGCGUCCGGUCCUCGAGCGUAUGGGGCUUCGUCACCCGCUCUGCAGGCCCGGCCGGCGCUUGCCGACACAUCAAUCUUUUUUCCAGGUUGACCUCGGAUCAGGUAGGGAUACCCGCUGAACUUAAGCAUAUCAUAG